rnacentral:rRNA from 1 species
AACGCGAAGAACCUUACCUGGGCUCGAAGCGCAGUGGACCGGGGUAGAAAUACCCCUUCCCCUUAAAAGGCUGCUGCGGAGGUGCUGCAUGGCUGUCGUCAGCUCGUGUCGUGAGAUGUUGGGUUAAGUCCCGCAACGAGCGCAACCCUUAUCCCUAGUUGCCAUCGGGUCAAGCCGGGCACUCUAGUGAAACCGCUUCGGAUAACGGAGAGGAAGGUGGGGAUGACGUCAAGUCCUCAUGGCCUUUAUGUCCAGGGCUACACACGUGCUACAAUGGCCGGUACAAACCGUCCCAAACCCGCGAGGGGGAGGCAAUCGGAAAAAGCCGGCCUCAGUUCGGAUUGGAGUCUGCAACUCGACUCCAUGAAGCUGGAAUCGCUAGUAAUCGCGGAUCAGAACGCCGCGGUGAAUACGUUCCCGGGCCUUGUA